rnacentral:rRNA from 1 species
GACGAACGCUGGCGGCGUGCUUAACGCAUGCAAGUCGAACGAGGUCCAUCCAGCUCGCUGGUGAAGACCGAGUGGCGAACGGGUGAGUAACACGUGAGGAGCCCACCCCGGAGACCGGGAUAACCCUCCGAAAGGAGAGCUAAUACCGGAUGCCCUCAUCGGAUCGCAUGUUCUGAUGAGGAAAUGGAUUCCGCUCCGGGACGGCCUCGCGGCCUAUCAGCUUGUUGGUGGGGUAACGGCCCACCAAGGCGUCGACGGGUAGCUGGUCUGAGAGGACGGUCAGCCACACUGGGACUGAGACACGGCCCAGACUCCUACGGGAGGCAGCAGCGGGGAAUAUUGCGCAAUGGGCGAAAGCCUGACGCAGCAACGCCGCGUGAGGGAUGAAGGCUUUCGGGUUGUAAACCUCUUUCAGCAGGGACGAUUGUGACGGUACCUGCAGAAGAAGCCCCGGCCAACUACGUGCCAGCAGCCGCCGUAAUAC